UCGCAUUUUUUUUAUUUUUAAAUAUUGCUAGGAAGUAUAUCAAUAUUAGACUCAUUUUGAAGCUCGUAUCUUAAAACGACGUGUUAUAAUUUUUAUUUCGUCAAAAUAUUAUUUUACAAGGGGAAAACUCUUGAUAAUUCUAUCUACCCCUUUUCCCUAUUCAAUUAAAAAAAAAAAAAAAGAGCAUGCGUCUCUUUCUUUCAAUCUCUGCUCCAUUUUUUCUUUGGACAAAAGUCCAACUUUCCCUCAUCUGAUUUCCUUUUUUUUUUUGGGCCCGACACGUUUUCUCUUUUUCUUUUUGACUGCAUGUUACUUUUCCCCUAAAUUUUGCUCCUUCUCCCCCACUCCUCUCUACCCUACUCCUCUCUCUCUCCCGCUCCUUCCCUCUCUCUUUUCUUUGACAAACCCUAUAAAUGAAUUGCUAGUUAUUCUCUGAAGAGGAGUUUUCCAGUGGUAAAAAAAAAAUCCCAUGAAAAAUUAAAGUUUGGGGAACAGAUCGAAAAACCCCCGUUUAUUCUCUGAAAAAACAGGUUUUCCAGUGGCUAAAAUCUUUUUUUAAAAAAGAAGAAGGGAGUUUUGAGAAACAAAAUAAAAAUAAAAAUCUCUCAGUUCUUAUCUAUCUACUUUAGUUAUUUAUAAGUUUUAAUUCUCAUUUUAUUGGGGGAGUAGUAGUGGAUCUAAGACCUCAAAGCCUCGUUCACUGCUCCCGUGGAAGGUUGUCAUGGAGCAUCCAAUUAAUGCCGGAGGUUUGAAGACAACCGAAAGAAAUCAAUGGAGAUGAAGUAUUAGAUAUCUUAGAAUUGUAUUAUUAACUGGCAUGUAAUAAAUUUUUAUUAUUGUAAUUAGUUUUAGGAAGAGUUGUGGAAUGAUACAUAAAAGACAUGUUUGUCCUUCAAAUGUUCGUUAGGCCUACCUCUGGCAUAAAGAGGUCCCUUGCAUUAUAGAACGCGAUGUAUUAUGUGCAAUAAUGUGUUUAUAUGCAAUAAUAUGUCCUUACCGUA